rnacentral:rRNA from 1 species
CAUAGUCAUUCAAGGGCUCCUCGGUCAUACAGUGGUUCGCAUCGGUGUUCGUGAUGAAUGGGCGUAAAGUGUGCGUCGGCCGUCGUUGAAGUCGGAUGUGGAAUCCCGCAGCGUAGCGUCGGCACGGACUUGGAUCCUAUCCGGGUCGAGGAGUGGAGGGGAGACUGGAAUUCUCGGUGUAGCAGUGAAAUGCGUAGAUAUCGAGAGGAACACCUGUGGCGAAGGCGAGUCUCCGGACACUUCCUGACGCUGAGGCACGAAAGCCAGGGGAGCAAACGGGAUUAGAUACCCUGGUAGUC